rnacentral:rRNA from 1 species
GACGAACGAUGGAGGAGGGGGGAACACAGGCAAGUCGAACGGAAAGGCCCUGCUUUUGUGGGGUGCUCGAGUGGCGAACGGGUGAGUAACACGUGAGUAACCUGCCCUUGACUUUGGGAUAACUUCAGGAAACUGGGGCUAAUACCGGAUAGGAGCUCCUGCUGCAUGGUGGGGGUUGGAAAGUUUCGGCGGUUGGGGAUGGACUCGCGGCUUAUCAGCUUGUUGGUGGGGUAGUGGCUUACCAAGGCUUUGACGGGUAGCCGGCCUGAGAAGGUGACCGGCCACAUUGGGACUGAGAUACGGCCCAGACUCCUACGGGAGGCAGCAGUGGGGAAUAUUGCACAAUGGGCGGAAGCCUGAUGCAGCAACGCCGCGUGCGGGAUGACGGCCUUCGGGUUGUAAACCGCUUUCGCCUGUGACGAAGCGUGAGUGACGGUAAUGGGUAAAGAAGCACCGGCUAACUACGUG